AGUGAGAUAUUUAAAUUUGUUGUCGAGUGGACUGUCUCCAGGCUUGUAAACAUCCUACACUCUCAGCUGUGUUGUCAUGGAGCUGGGAGAGGGGU
rnacentral:miRNA from 1 species